rnacentral:SRP_RNA from 2 species
GCCGGGCAUGGUGGUGCACGCCUGUAAUCCCACCUACUCAGGAGGCUGAGGCAGGAGAAUCACUUGAACCCAGGAGGUGGAGGUUGUAGUGAGACGAGAUCGCACCACUGCACUCCAGCCUGGGUGACAGAGUGAGACUCUGUCUCAA